rnacentral:rRNA from 1 species
ACAUGCAAGUCGAGCGAACAGACGAGGAGCUUGCUCCUCUGACGUUAGCGGCGGACGGGUGAGUAACACGUGGAUAACCUACCUAUAAGACUGGGAUAACUUCGGGAAACCGGAGCUAAUACCGGAUAACAUGUUGAACCGCAUGGUUCAACAGUGAAAGACGGUCUUGCUGUCACUUAUAGAUGGAUCCGCGCCGCAUUAGCUAGUUGGUAAGGUAACGGCUUACCAAGGCAACGAUGCGUAGCCGACCUGAGAGGGUGAUCGGCCACACUGGAACUGAGACACGGUCCAGACUCCUACGGGAGGCAGCAGUAGGGAAUCUUCCGCAAUGGGCGAAAGCCUGACGGAGCAACGCCGCGUGAGUGAAGAAGGUCUUCGGAUCGUAAAACUCUGUUAUUAGGGAAGAACAAAUGUGUAAGUAACUAUGCACGUCUUGACGGUACCUAAUCAGAAAGCCACGGCUAACUACGUGCCAGCAGCCGCGGUAAUACGUAGGUGGCAAGCGUUAUCCGGAAUUAUUGGGCGUAAAGCGCGCGUAGGCGGUUUUUUAAGUCUGAUGUGAAAGCCCACGGCUCAACCGUGGAGGGUCAUUGGAAACUGGAAAACUUGAGUGCAGAAGAGGAAAGUGGAAUUCCAUGUGUAGCGGUGAAAUGCGCAGAGAUAUGGAGGAACACCAGUGGCGAAGGCGACUUUCUGGUCUGUAACUGACGCUGAUGUGCGAAAGCGUGGGGAUCAAACAGGAUUAGAUACCCUGGUAGUCCACGCCGUAAACGAUGAGUGCUAAGUGUUA